rnacentral:rRNA from 1 species
UACGUAGGUGGCAGGCGUUAUCCGGAUUUAUUGGGCGUAAAGGGAACGCAGGCGGUCUUUUAAGUCUGAUGUGAAAGCCUUCGGCUUAACCGGAGUAGUGCAUUGGAAACUGGGAGACUUGAGUGCAGAAGAGGAGAGUGGAACUCCAUGUGUAGCGGUGAGAUGCGUAGAUAUAUGGAAGAACACCAGUGGCGAAAGCGGCUCUCUGGUCUGUAACUGACGCUGAGGUUCGAAAGCGUGGGUAGCAAACAGG